AGAUUGAACGCUGGCGGCAUGCCUUACACAUGCAAGUCAACGGAUUUUGGGGCUUGCUCCAAAGUUAGUGGCGAACGGGUGUGUAAUGCAUCGGAACGUGCCCAAUCGUGGGGGAUAACGUAGCGAAAGUUACGCUAAUACCGCAUACGUCCUGAGGGAGAAAGCAGGGGACUCGCAAGAGCCUUGCGCGAAUGGAGCGGCCGAUGCCGGAUUAGCUAGUUGGUGAGGUAAAGGCUCACCAAGGCGACGAUCCGUAGCUGGUCUGAGAGGACGACCAGCCACACUGGGACUGAGACACGGCCCAGACUCCUACGGGAGGCAGCAGUGGGAAUUUUGGACAAUGGGGAAACCUGAUCCAGCCAUGCCGCGUGAGUGAAGAAGGCCUUCGGUUGUAAAGCUCUUUCGGACAGAAAGAAAUCGCACGGCUAAUACUCCGUGUGGAUGACGGUACUAGUAAGAAGAAGCACCGGACUAACUACGUGCCAGCAGCCGUA
rnacentral:rRNA from 1 species